AGCGAACGCUGGCGGUAUGCUUAACACAUGCAAGUCGAGCGAGAAAAAUGGCUUCGGCCAUGAGUACAGCGGCGGACGGGUGAGUAAUACAUGGAUAAUCUGCCUUUAGGACUGGGACAACCCAGGGAAACUUGGGCUAAUACCGGAUAAGACCACAGAAUCUCCGGAUUCAGUGGUAAAAGGUGGCUUCGGCUAUCACCUAUAGAUGAGUCCAUGUCCCAUCAGGUAGUUGGUGAGGUAACGGCCCACCAAGCCUAAGACGGGUAGCCGACCUUAGCGGGUGAUCGGCCACACGGGGACUGAGACACGGCCCCGACUCCUACGGGAGGCAGCAGUGGGGAAUAUUGGACAAUGGGCGCAAGCCUGAUCCAGCAAUACCGCGUGAGGGAUGAAGGCCUUCGGGUCGUAAACCUCUGUCAGUUGGAACGAUGGGUUUGUAGGUUAAUACCCUGCAAACUUGACGGUACCUUCAAAGGAAGCCCCGGCUAACUCCGUG
rnacentral:rRNA from 1 species